GGUGGAAAAACAAAUACAACUGGGAUGAAAACUGAAAUGAGCAACAGGCGUGAAAGAGGAAGGCUGAUCCAGCGAUUAGGGUGCUUGGACUCUGCCAUGGACUGCCUGGGUUAUCACGGGCUUUAUUUCACAUACAAAAAAUACAUAGCCGUGGGAAAACUACAGAAGAUUUGGCACAAAAGAAAUUAUGAAUGCCAUUUCCUGGCUAAAGCAUUCUUGGCGCUGUAACAAUGGGCUCUGAAGGAUCAAGGCUUGUGUUUCCCGCAUCAGAGAAACUGGGAGAUACUGGCCACAGAGAAUGAAGACCCUGGAAGUCCUGAGCCAGGUUUAUCCCUGGUGUAAGUCUACUGAAGGCUUCCUGACUGCAUCUUCGUAGGAUCCACCCAGCACUAAUUCUGGAAAAACCCAGUUUGUGAACAACUCUGUGUGAUACAGCAGGACAGUGACUCAAAGCAGCAGGACGGUCAUCAGGGAAUUAAUUCCUCUUCCAUAGCGAGCAGUUCAACCGCUGACAUUUGCAUGGGGUGCUGCAGAUGCUGAUCUAGUCUCACCGGACUUAAAAUGUUUCAUCUGCAUGCACCUUGCAAGUUCGUAGCUUCUUCGCCCUACAGUCUGCACAAAUCUCCUGAGCAGCCACGCUUCUGUCCUGUCUCCACCUCUCACAGCAGAGACCAGGGCAAAUAUGUGUUGAUGAAACAGUUAUUUUAAACUGCUCAAAGACACAAAUAAUUUAACUGCACAACUUAUUUGAGU